rnacentral:rRNA from 1 species
AUGAAUUUUCUGCACAUUGAUACUGCCAAAUCGUUUUUUCAGAGACUGUCUUUUUUUCACGGUAAAAUGGACGCCUUUACAGAGGAGAUAGUGAAGCAUAUGAUUGUCAAGUUUUCUGUUUUGGAGCUACGUACGUCUCGCAACAAACGGACAUGGUUUUGGAGCACUCGUCUUUCAUCUCCUAGGGAUGAAUCGAAUUCGACGUGCUACGCGGAGGCUCAAGAUCGCCCUAGAGAAAACAAUGGUGAAUGA